GAUGAACGCUAGCGGCAGGCCUAACACAUGCAAGUCGAGGGGCAUCACGGAAAAGCUUGCUUUUCCGGUGGCGACCGGCGCACGGGUGAGGAGCACGUAUGGAACCUGCCCCUGUCAGGG
rnacentral:rRNA from 1 species